GACGAGUAAUGGGGAUGGAAAUAUAUCAACGAUGGGGUGUGGUUCGUUCCUGUUAGGUUUUUUUCUUUGACGAUGCUGCUCCUGGAGCACCAACUCAAAAUUUUCUCAUAUACUGGUGUUGCCCGAGCACGAGCACAAGGCGACAUUUUUGCUGGCCAUCUUGUCUUGUUCAACAUCUACUGGGGAGGGGGAGGAGGCCAGCAACAGGAGAAGGUGCAUGCCAGCGAGGAGGGCGAGCAGAAGGGUGAAGUGGAGGACAAUCGGGGGGAGACGUGAGCGCUCAGGCCUAUGUUUGUGUUGUUCUCGACUUGAGUAUAUGGGGCUCGAAUUGUGAUGGAUAUGAGAUAGAUGUGGGUUAUGCUAAUCUGGCUGGUGGGUUAUGCUAAUCUGACUGCAACGCAUAGGCCGCUUGCCCAGCUCCCUCAUUCCGGGCAAGACACCACGCGUCGGAGCUUGUCGGGAGGCACGGAAGGACGAACAGAGUUCUACUGGUGAUCCAUGUUGUCGCUGAUGGUGUCAUAGGAUCUGCGGUGCACGUGGACAAGGCGAUGGGGCUGCCAACAUGCCUCCUCUUCACCACAGCGCGUGUAGAUUCUUGGGCUACCUCAACUUGGAUCAGCUUUUUCAAGAGGGGAUGCUUGCCAUUCAGAGGAUCUGAUGGAGAAGAUAAAGACAACUAAUACGCUGAAAAUGAUUUUACAUCCUGGUUCGAAAAGUAAAAGGGAAAUCUUCGAGUAGAGGAGUCUUGGGUACUGUCAUGGUUAUGAUGUCGAACAAAACAACCUUCAUCGACAGUUUGUCUAUUUUUUCAGGGAUAAACUGCCUUAACCGAAGCAGCAUAUGUUGGAGAAUGUAGAUUCAGCUUUCGUUUCGGUAGCUUUGGAGGUAUCCUAUACGACUAUGAGUGAUAUACUCUCCUGUCUCCUCCCUCCAUUUUACUCGAGUUAACCCCUGUACGCACAUCUCUAUGUCUGCCUUCAGGACAAUUGCAGCAAGGAAGUAAGCCAAAGAGAAAAUGUCGGUGGCUUCAAAGGCCUGACCAGGUUCACCCAUGAGGUCGGAAACACUGGAUCAAUGGGCUCUGAGGUGACUUCUUUAUGGUGCAUAGGUUCUGGGAUUUAACAAUGUCAAGUGGGCCUCGAUGAUAAUGAUGAUUCCAGAAGCGAAGGAUCAACUAAAGUGGCAUUCGAGGCAAUAGAAAUGGGAAGAUCAGCCUUAUUUCUGGAUUCAGGCUUAUCAAACACUUUUGGGUUCAAGAUUCAGGACAAAAAAGGCAGGAUGUACAUAUUUAACUCUGUACGAAGAUGAUGAUCACCAUACUCUCAUCGGAUACCGACCUUAUACCGGCUGUGGACCAUGCAAAACAAAUCGGUUGGAAGGUAAUAGGAGGCAAAUUCAACCUUCUCCUUUAUUCAUACAACAUUACUUAAUGAGAAUAUUAAGAACAUAACUGGAUGGGCUCACAUUUAUUUGUUGUGUCAUAUACUAUACAGGGAGAUACCAUCUGUCAUACUUUUUAGUUUUGUAUAGGUCGCGCUAAGGAUUCAACAAAUGAUGACCAAUGUGAUGCGCAAAGAUAAGAGUAAUAGACCAUCCGAAGUUUACUACAUGUUCUUGUCUUCUCUGUCUACUGCAUAUUUUUUCUUGUAACAUUUGAUAUAUUGAAAUAAACCGCAAGUUGUGACUGAAAGAGUAUACAUUUUUUAUUUAUGUAAAAUUUGGCAACAAAAAGUUGUAGCCUUACCAAUCAUGCGGUGUGGGUGCUCACCGCCGCCGUAAAAGUGGGGGUUUAGAGGUAUGGCCAUGGGCAACAGUGGACCAUCAGAGAAGGUGGCUCAGGCAGGGCGGCACACGACAUCGGCACCAGCUGCAACCAGUGCCGAAAGGUGGGUGAUGGGAACUCAAGGAGGUAGAAGACGACAACGAGCAUGGAAUUUUAGAAGAGGGGUGGGGUGGGGUAGAGGGAUGGUCGGGGGCAACGGUGGACCUAAGGAGAAGGCAACUCAGGCAUGGGAAGAAAAGGAGGAUGCAUGAGCUUCAAAUCUGAUUGAAUGCAGUCAGAAGAUGGAGACUUGAAGGAGGAAUUAGUGAAGAAUGGGAAGGUGAAUAGAACAGGGAAACCAAUCAAAUACGUGCAGGUAUGACAUGGUGAUUUUUUUAAUCUCUUGAGAAUGUCAAGAUUUUUCUACAGUUACAUAUAUACAACUGAAUCUUAAAGGAAAAAAAUGAUUAGGUACACCAUAGAAUUAGUCUCACUUGGUUUAUUUAUUACUCUGUUUUUAUCAACCAACAUGCUUGCCAAAUUUAUAAUUUGUUAUUUGC